rnacentral:lncRNA from 1 species
UUUUUUUUUUUUUUUUUUUGAGAGAGAGAUAGGUAGCACGCUACCUGCUUCGUUUAUUUCAUUUAGAAAUAAACUUAGCUAGAAAUGUGAAUCAACUAGAAUUCGAACUUAGGAUCUCGAGUACCAACCAUUAAGCCCUUUGCUAUGUGUUUUAGUUAAGUUUAUUUUUAAAUAAAAUAAACGAAGCGGAUAGCAUGCUACUUAUCUCACAAACUGGUUUUGCUAAUCUGCAGUUAAUUGUGGUAAUGGAU